UUUGCCGUAGUAACGUCUGACAGCUCUUAAUUUGAUCCGCUGUUUUAUAUCUUUGAUUGUGUGUGUCUAUUUUAUGCUACUCUGCAUUCAGAGUGUAUAUAGUAUUGAGUGAAUUGAUACGUGAUCUCGAUUGAGUCACGAUUGUAUAUUGACGUCUCUGGUCAUUGCCCACUCCUAAUUGUGGACCCUGGGCACCAGUUUGAUAGUCUAAAUACAGCAUCAUCCUAUUUCACUCGU